rnacentral:rRNA from 1 species
AUUGAACGCUGGCGGCAUGCUUUACACAUGCAAGUCGAACGGUAACAGGUUAAGCUGACGAGUGGCGAACGGGUGAGUAAUGCAUCGGAACGUGCCCGAUCGUGGGGGAUAACGCAGCGGAAGCUGUGCUAAUACCGCAUACGAUCUGCGGAUGAAAGCGGGGGACCUUCGGGCCUCGCGCGAUUGGAGCGGCCGAUGUCAGAUUAGGUAGUUGGUGGGGUAAAGGCUCACCAAGCCAACGAUCUGUAGCUGGUCUGAGAGGACGACCAGCCACACUGGGACUGAGACACGGCCCAGACUCCUACGGGAGGCAGCAGUGGGGAAUUUUGGACAAUGGGCGCAAGCCUGAUCCAGCAAUGCCGCGUGCAGGAAGAAGGCCUUCGGGUUGUAAACUGCUUUUGUACGGAGCGAAAAGGCUCCCUCUAAUACAGGGGGCUCAUGACGGUACCGUAAGAAUAAGCACCGGCUAACUACGUGCCAGCCGCCGCCGUAAUAC